rnacentral:rRNA from 1 species
GACGAACGCUGGCGGCGUGCUUAACACAUGCAAGUCGAACGAUGAAGAAAAGAAUCGAAGCUUCGGCAGAAAUUCAUUUCGGAUUAGUGGCAGACGGGUGAGUAACGCGUGAGCAACCUACCUCUUACAAAGGGAUAGCCUCGGGAAACCGGGAUUAAUACCAUAUAACAUUGCGACGAAGCAUUUCGAUGCAAUCAAAGCUACGGCGGUAAGAGAUGGGCUCGCGUCCCAUUAACCGGAUGGUGAGGUAACGGCUCACCAUAGUGACGAUGGGUAACCGGCCUGAGAGGGUGAACGGUCACACUGGAACUGAGACACGGUCCAGACUCCUACGGGAGGCAGCAGUGGGGAAGAUUGCACAAUGGAGGGAACUCUGAUGCAGCGACGCCGCGUGAGUGAUGAAGGAAUUCGUUUCGUAAAACUCUGUUCUAUGGGAAGAAAAGGACUGUACCAUAGGAGAAAGCUCCGGCUAAAUACGU